CAGCAUGUUUCCAGGGUCUAUGGCUGUUUGUGGCCCUGGGAUCUCCAACCACAUACCAACUGGAGGGACUUGGACAGCCCAGGUCAGCACAGUGCCUGUAGAUGCCACUCAGUUUUCCUGUAUAU
ensembl:snoRNA Gm22341 small nucleolar RNA SNORA44